UGUUAGCCGCUCGAGCUAUUGUUGC
rnacentral:piRNA from 1 species